rnacentral:rRNA from 1 species
GACGAACGCUGGCGGCGUGCUUAACACAUGCAAGUCGAACGGUGAAGCGCCUUCCUUUUUGGUGGGUGUGGAUGAGUGGCGAACGGGUGAGUAACACGUGAGUAACCUGCCCCCUUCUUCUGGAUAACCGCAUGAAAGUGUGGCUAACACGGGAUAUUCUGGUUCUGUCGCAUGAUGGGUCUGGGAAAGAUAUUGUUUCGGUGGGGGAUGGGCUCGCGGCCUAUCAGCUUGUUGGUGGGGUGAUGGCCUACCAAGGCGGUGACGGGUAGCCGGCCUGAGAGGGUGGACGGUCACACUGGGACUGAGACACGGCCCAGACUCCUACGGGAGGCAGCAGUGGGGAAUAUUGCACAAUGGGCGCAAGCCUGAUGCAGCGACGCCGCGUGAGGGAUGGAGGCCUUCGGGUUGUGAACCUCUUUCGCCAGUGAAGCAGGCCUGCCUCGUUUGUGGGUGGGUUGACGGUAGCUGGAUAAGAAGCGCCGGCUAACUACGUG